rnacentral:lncRNA from 1 species
GGGGAAUCUAUGUUCCGGUGGCGGAGAGAUCUCGGCGGAAUCAAAAUGUUUCUGUUCAAUUUGUCCGGAAAACACUUGCCCCUCUCGAAUCUACUUCGAACGAAACCCCCACCUUUAGAACUCGUAGGAAGAUUUGGCCGGAAAAGCCUGCCCUAUCAAACCUACCUUGGACCAGCCCGCACCCUUAGAUCUCGUCGGAAGAACUUCCCCGCAGUCGUCGUUCUCGCCAGAAAAUCGUGGUUGAAGGACGCAAGGGCUGAAGAUCCUCCAUUAUCGACGAAUGCCAGAGGGCUGGGGUUCUUCAAGAACCUUUCGGGGACAAAGAGAAAUUGGCGAUGGAGGAUGAGAUAGUCAUGAAGGCGAAGAGGGAAUAACCUCCGCUACGACGGUCUCACCGACGAGAAGAGUGGAGGAGGCGGUGGAAGAAGAAAUUUGUGGAAGAACGAAGAAGACGAUGUAUUACUGUAUUCGUUUUGUUUGUUUUAACAAUUUUAAAAAUUACAAUUUAGUCCUAUAAAUUUAGAUUAUUUAUAAUUAAAUCACUCUGGU